rnacentral:rRNA from 1 species
GAUGAACGCUGGCGGCGUGCCUAAUACAUGCAAGUCGAGCGAAUUUAGAAAGCUUGCUUUCUAAAUUAGCGGCGGACGGGUGAGUAACACGUAGGUAACCUGCCUGAUAGAUUGGGAUAACACCGAGAAAUCGGUGCUAAUACCGAAUAUUUUCUAAGCUUCGCAUGAAGCAUAGAAGAAAGGUGGCGCAAGCUACCACUAUCAGAUGGACCUGCGGCGCAUUAGCUAGUUGGUGAGGUAAUAGCUCACCAAGGCGACGAUGCGUAGCCGACCUGAGAGGGUGAUCGGCAACACUGGGACUGAGACACGGCCCAGACUCCUACGGGAGGCAGCAGUAGGGAAUCUUCCGCAAUGGACGAAAGUCUGACGGAGCAACGCCGCGUGAGCGAUGAAGGCCUUCGGGUCGUAAAGCUCUGUUGUUAGGGAAGAACAAGUAUCGUUCGAAUAGGGCGGUACCUUGACGGUACCUAAUUAGAAAGCCACGGCUAACUACGUGCCAGCCGCCGCUGUA